AGGGGGCAAGCGUUGUCCGGAAUUAUUGGGCGUAAAGCGCGUGCAGGCGGCCGUUUAAGUCUGGUGUUUAAUCCCGGGGCUCAACCCCGGUACGCACUGGAAACUGGAUGGCUUGAGUGCAGGAGAGAAGAGCGGAAUUCCACGUGUAGCGGUGAUAUGCGUAGAUAUGUGGAGGAACACCAGUGGCGAAGGCGGCUCUUUGGCCUGUAACUGACGCUGAGGCGCGAAAGCGUGGGGAGCAA
rnacentral:rRNA from 1 species